AACGAGAAGCCUCACCAACUUUUUUUACAAUAUACUAGUAAUACUAUUGUGGACCAGUCAUGUUAGUGUACUGCAGGCUUGCCAGGUUACUGUGCCCAUGUUGUGGGUCUGGUAUACACGCUGGACCUCUGGCGUGCGAAACAAGAAGAGGUAGCUUCAACAAGUGUUUCACAAACAUGGCAUCAACCAAGAGGGGGCAAAAUAUCAGCCACACCUGUAGUAAAUUUAGUGGUUGCCAAGGCCAAAAUUCAAAGAAAAAGGAAACCGAUUGUCAAUACCUACACACACAAGAAGAAAAUGCUAGGGCCAGAAAUAUUCGAUCUGCUUAGGGAAAUUACAGAUGCACCUAUCAGCUACCUUGUAGAUAAAGAUGCACCUCAGCUGUGAAAGGCCAGAAAUAUGCCUUGGGAUGUGGUCUAAGCCACCAGGUGAGAGAAAUAACAAAAAAAGAUGCAGUAUCCAGGUUUAUAAUUUUUGUUUUAUUAUGUGUUCUUAUAUUGAGAAUAUAUACAUACUAUAAGCAUAGUCUUAUUUAUUACAUUGCCAACCAACACAUCACACUCACAGUUGUUACUUUCUCAAAAUAUGAGGCUGGAAAUUGGACAGAGGGGUAUUCCAGAAAGCAGGUUUACUGGCUUAACUGGGUAUGUUAACCCAGAGUUAGCGGUA